rnacentral:rRNA from 1 species
GCGGCGGCUUACACAUGCAAGUCGAGCGAGGACUUCGGUCCUAGCGGCGGACGGGUGAGUAACGCGUGGGAACGUGCCCUUUGCUACGGAACAGUCCCGGGAAACUGGGUUUAAUACCGUAUGUCCUCUGAGGAGGAAAGAUUUAUCGGCAAGGGAUCGGCCCGCGUUGGAUUAGGUAAUUGGUGGGGUAAUGGCCUACCAAGCCGACGAUCCAUAGCUGGUUUGAGAGGAUGAUCAGCCACACUGGGACUGAGACACGGCCCAGACUCCUACGGGAGGCAGCAGUGGGGAAUCUUAGGCAAUGGGGGAAACCCUGAUCUAGCCAUGCCGCGUGAGCGAUGAAGGCCUUAGGGUUGUAAAGCUCUUUCGCUGGGGAAGAUAAUGACGGUACCCAGUAAAGAAGCCCCGGCUAACUCCGUGCCAGCAGCCGCGGUAAUACGGAGGGGGCUAGCGUUGUUCGGAAUUACUGGGCGUAAAGCGCGCGUAGGCGGAUUGGAAAGUUGGGGGUGAAAUCCCGGGGCUCAACCCCGGAACUGCCUCCAAAACUAUCAGUCUGGAGUUCGAGAGAGGUGAGUGGAAUUGCGAGUGUAGAGGUGAAAUUCGUAGAUAUUCGCAGGAACACCAGUGGCGAAGGCGGCUCACUGGCUCGAUACUGACGCUGAGGUGCGAAAGUGUGGGGAGCAAACAGGAUUAGAUACCCUGGUAGUCCACACCGUAAGCGAUGAAUGCCAGACGUCGGCAAGCAUGCUUGUCGGUGUCACACCUAACGGAUUA